rnacentral:rRNA from 1 species
UACGGGGGGGGCGAGCGUUGUUCGGAAUCAUUGGGCGUAAAGGGUGCGUAGGUGGCGCCGUAAGUCGGGUGUGAAAUCCUGAGGCUUAACCUCAGAACUGCAUUCGAUACUGCGGUGCUUGAGGACUGGAGAGGAGACUGGAAUUCAUGGUGUAGCAGUGAAAUGCGUAGAGAUCAUGAGGAAGACCAGUGGCGAAGGCGGGUCUCUGGACAGUUCCUGACACUGAGGCACGAAGGCCAGGGGAGCAAACGGG